rnacentral:sRNA from 1 species
CAUAUUUACUUUGACUUGGAUGUUUUAGGAGUACAGUAGUGAUCUUUAUAUAGCCUCUAAUUCAAAAUAUGCAGAAUUUAUAAAGAGCAUUAAAAUAUCAGAUAAAAUAUUUUUAGCUUAAUAGCUUAUUGCAAAUUAUGUAUACACAUGUACUUGUAAAAAUAAUUGUGUAUCAUAAAUCAGUGCUGUUUAAAUGAUGGAAUUUUAAAAUCUAGAAUUGAUCACCUGCCACCUCUGGUUUUUCAUAUAGCAUAGAGAGAGUUCAUCUUCAUCUGGCCAGUCACUCUACUUUGUGUCUCACUCAGUGGUUCUUUUUGCGUUUUUGUUUGAGACAAGUUUCACUUUGUCUCCCAGGCUGGAGAGCAGAGGCAUCAUUAUAGCUCACUGCAUUGUCAAACUCUUGAGUUCAAGCACCCAGCUAAUUUUUAUUUUAUUUUUAGUAGAGACGGAGUCUCGCUGUGUUGUCCAGGCUGGUCUUGAACUCCUGCCCUCUAGCAGUCCUCCAGCCUCAGUGGUUCUUAACAUAUAGAUCAUAAUGUCCUUUGACAAUAUGAAGAAGGAUAUGAUUCCCUUCAGAAAAAUGCCUAGUGCUCUGCGCCAGCAUUUUAUAUAAUAAUUGACCUGGCUUUUUAAAAUUGCACAGUGUAAAUGAGUGUUUCUUGAAUGAAAUUCGUAAGGGUUUCUUUCAUCCGUUUACUAAGCUUUUAUUUAUAGAGGUCAGGGAACUAAAGGUUAUCUGAUAACAUCCUUACUUCCUAGAUAAGGCUGAAAACCUAAGAUAAUUUAGUAACUUUGCACAAAGUCGCUCAUAAGCAUGAAAAUCAAACUUAGCACAUCUAAUAUGAAACCAAACCAGGCUAAUCAGAGUGUUGGGUAUUUACUGCAAAUAUCCACGAAGUCAGUCGAUCCUGCUUAUCUGGGAAUUCACCUACUGUUUCCAUUCCUUUCACUGAUGACAUUUCUUUUUUCUUGAGAUGGUGUCUCGCUCUGUCACCCAGGCUGGAGUGAAGUGGCAUGAUCUUGGCUCACUGCAACCUCCGCCUCCCGGGUUCAAGCAGUUCUCCUGCCUCAGUCUCCCAAGUAGCUGGGAUUAUAGGUGUGUGCCAACAUGCCCAGCUAAUUUUUGUAUUUUUAGUAGCGAUGGGGUUUCAUCAUGUUGGCCAGGCUGGUCUCGAACUCCUGACCUCAAGUGAUUUGCCCACCUCUGCCUCCCCCAAAAGGGGUGGGAUUACAGGCUAUUAUGCCCGGUCCACUGAUGGAUGACAUUUCUAAUAAGUGGCAAGUAGUAUCAUUCUGCUUAUUGUGGAAGGGUAGUAACAAACCAUCCUAUUAAAUGGUUGUGUUAUAUUUAUUUUGCGUUCUCUUCCCUCAACAGAUGGAGCAGCAUAUUGUAUGGGACGUAUGAAUUCUGACUGUUGGUACUUAUAUACUCUGGAUUUCCCAGAGAGUCGGGUAAUCAGUCAGCCAGAUCAAACCUUGGAAAUUCUGAUGAGUGAGCUUGACCCAGCAGUUAUGGACCAGUUCUACAUGAAAGAUGGUGUUACUGCAAAGGAUGUCACUCGUGUAAGCAUUUUUAGUAAUAAAUUGUUGCUGGAUUCUUCUGCAUGGGGACUAAAUUUUAUUUUUCAUUCUUCAACUUUUAAGUUCAGGGUAACAAGUGCAAGUUUGUUACAUAGGUAAACUUGUGUCAUGGGGGUUUGUCGUACAAAGUAUUUCAUCACCCAAGUGUUAAGCCUAGUACCCAUUACUUAUUUUUCCUGGUCCUCUCCCUCCUCCCACCCUGGGACUAAAUUUUGGACUCAUUUGAAGUUUAUUUGUCAAACCUUUGUUAAACUCGGUCUUUUUUCCCCCCCAGGAGAGUGGAAUUCGUGACCUGAUACCAGGUUCUGUCAUUGAUGCCACAAUGUUCAAUCCUUGUGGGUAUUCAAUGAAUGGAAUGAAAUCGGAUGGAACUUAUUGGACUAUUCACAUCACUCCAGAACCAGAAUUUUCUUAUGUUAGCUUUGAAACAAACUUAAGUCAGACCUCCUAUGAUGACCUGAUCAGGAAAGUUGUAGAAGUCUUCAAGCCAGGAAAAUUUGUGACCACCUUGUUUGUUAAUCAGAGUUCUAAAUGUCGCACAGUGCUUGCUUCGCCCCAGAAGAUUGAAGGUUUUAAGCGUCUUGAUUGCCAGAGUGCUAUGUUCAAUGAUUACAAUUUUGUUUUUACCAGUUUUGCUAAGAAGCAGCAACAACAGCAGAGUUGAUUAAGAAAAAUGAAGAAAAAACGCAAAAAGAGAACACAUGUAGAAGGUGGUGGAUGCUUUCUAGAUGUCGAUGCUGGGGGCAGUGCUUUCCAUAACCACCACUGUGUAGUUGCAGAAAGCCCUAGAUGUAAUGAUAGUGUAAUCAUUUUGAAUUGUAUGCAUUAUUAUAUCAAGGAGUUAGAUAUCUUGCAUGAAUGCUCUCUUCUGUGUUUAGGUAUUCUCUGCCACUCUUGCUGUGAAAUUGAAGUGCAUGUAGAAAAAACCUUUUACUAUAUGAAACUUUACAACACUUGUGAAAGCAACUCAAUAUGGUUUAUGCACAGUGUAGUAUUUCUCCAAGUAUCAUCCAAAAUUCCCCACAGACAAGGCUUUCGUCCUCAUUAGGUGUUGGCCUCAGCCUAACCCUCUAGGACUGUUCUAUUAAAUUGCUGCCAGAAUUUUACAUCCAGUUACCUCCACUUUCUAGAACAUAUUCUUUACUAAUGUUAUUGAAACCAAUUUCUACUUCAUACUGAUGUUUUUGGAAACAGCAAUUAAAGUUUUUCUUCCAUGAAUUGAGUCCUUAAGAAAAUGAUUCCAGUUACUCAUUUUGCAUAUUUGCUAUUUUAACAGUAUUGGACCCUGCAUUUGUAGUCCUUUGAUUUCUUCCCUCUCCCUGGUGUCUCCCCCAAGACCCCAAAUAAAGCAAUACACUGUUAACACUGUCGGUUUAUAUACUAAUUCUAUACCCCAGAUGGGGAAUGGGGGAGAUGGUCCCUGGGCUUAAUAUUCUUUAAAGGGCCUGGGAAUUUAGCCUCUCUUUUAUUGUAAUGUGCUCUUUUGGAAAAUAGUUGAUUAGCAGGGAAGACCCAGAGUUGUAGAUUGAGAUUAGGGUGUACUGGCUGAACUGUGGAAAACAUACAAUUCUGUGUUCCUCAGUAAAUGAGAUUAGCGUCUAAUGAGUAGUACGCCUUUACUAACUUAGUAGUAGUAUAAAAUCAUUUUUAUUUAGUUAAUUACCAGAGAGAUUUAGCAUAAUUUUGUUCUGGAUUCAGUAAAUCAAGUCAGCUUGGAUCAUUCACCUUAACUUUUCCUUUAGCAGCCAUUUCCACUAGUUUCCAUUAAGUAGUGUUCUAUAAACUUUGAUCCAAAGCAGAAUCAAUGUCUUUUCCAUCUUGUGACUUAAAGUUCUGUGACUGUGAUGCAUGUGAGUGUUCUGACUUCAUCUGUUCCUCUUAACUACGGUGUUUCCCUCACCAUGGCAUUCAUAGGAUGAAAUGAAUGACUGCCCAGAAUGAGAAUUUGUCCAUAUUAUUCAGAUAAACAUCAUAAAGCAGAAUACAUGAAUAAAUAAGUAGAAUAUGAAUAAAUAAGUAGAAUAAUAAAAUUCCAAAAUACUCAAUGGGAAAUGAGUAGUAAUAUAGGCUUUCAAGAGUUGGUACCUUUUAGCCAUAUUUGCAGAUACUCUGGGAUUUUAGGGAACUGAGAAAACAGCAAAGUUGACUAAAUUUUAUAUUUCUUGUCCUCUAAAUAUUUUGAUAAUUUCUGGAUUGAUGCAGUGAUGUUUUUGUUCCUUCCGUAUUUAUAAAUGAAACACCUUUUUUUAGUGUUUCUAAACCUAAAAUCUACUUGGUUUGAAAUCAAGUGGUUGGAACACUGUUUGACUUUUAUUUGAAGCAUGUUGUUGAUUGAAAAUUUCAUUGAGGAAGUUUUCAAUCAGUGUGAUCAGUUUGAUUCUGUAAUGAGCACAGCACCUAAUAUUUUGAGGAGCUCUGUUUUGAGGACCAAUGCUUAAGGUGGACUUUGUUCGUAAACAAUAUCCCAAUAGAUUUGUUGACUUGAGGUCUGGUUUGGUUUUGGUUUUUUUGUUUUUUUUUUGUUUUCCUAAUAGAAUUAAGAAUUCUAAUGUUGAAAAACUGCACAGAUUUUUAUGGGACAAAGCCUAGAAAAGAGAAAUGUAGAUUGAAUCAUAAUCUAAAUCAUGGUGUGAUAGAAGAGGGAAAGUUUUGGUGCCAUAAUUUCUCCUUUCACUGGUGUUGGACUUAAAUCAGUUGAAAUGUAUUUCUGUACCACAAUUUACGCUUCAAUAAAAGUUUAAUUGUCUAGUGAC